AUUGUCUUGUGAAAUUCCUUCUUCUGGCUCAUCCUGGCUCAAAAGCUCCCCUACUGAGCACCUUGUGACCCCGACUCUGCCCGCCAGAGAACAACCCCCCUUUGACUGUAAUUUUCCUUUAUCUACCCAAAUCCUAUAAAACGGCCCCACCCUUAUCUCCCUUCGCUCUCUUUUCGGACUCAGCCCGCCUACACCCAGGUGAUUAAAAGCUUUAUUGCUCACACAAAGCCCGUUUAGUAGCCUCUUCACACUGACGCGCAUGAAAUUUGGUGCCGUGACUCGGAUCAGGGGACUUCCCUUAGGAGAUCAAUCCCCUGUCCUCCUGCUCUUUGCUCCAUGAGAAAGAUCCACCUAUGACCUCAAGUCCUCAGACCGACCAGCCCAAGAAACAUCUCACCAAUUUCAAAUCCGGACCCCACUGAAAACUGGACUGUUCAACUCACCUGGCAGCCACUUCCAGAGCUCCUGGAACUCUAGCCCAAGGCUCUCUGACUCUUUCUCAGAUCUUCUCGGCUUAGCAGCUGAAGACUGACACUGCCGGAUCGCCUCAGAAGCCUGCAGGACCAUCACAGACACUCUAAGUAACUCUCAUAGUAGAAGGUAAGUCCCUCCGCUUCUUAAUACAGAGGCUACUUACUCCACAUUACCUUAUUUUCAAGGGCCUGUUUCCCUUGCCUCCAUAACUGUUGUGGGUAUUGACGGCCAGGCUUCUAAACCUCUUAAAACUCCCCAACUCUAGUGCCAACUUAGACAAUACUCUUUUAAGCACUCCUUUUAGUUAUCCCCACCUGCCCAGUUCUCUUAUUAGGCCGAGACACUUUAACUAAAUUAUCUGCUUCCCUGACUGUUCCUAGGCUAUAGCCACACCUCAUUGCCACCUUUUCCCCCAGUUCAAAGCCUCCUUCACAUCCUCCCCUUGUAGCUCCCCACCUUAACCUGCAAGUAUAAGACAUCUCUACUCCCUCCUUAGCGACCGAUCAUGCACCCCUUACCAUCCCAUUAAAACCUAAUCGCCCUUACCCCGCUCAAUGCCAAUAUCCCAUCCCACAGCGUGCUUUGAAAGGACUAAAGCCUGUUAUCACUCACCUGUUAUAGUGUGGCCUUUUAAAGCCCAUAAACUCUCCUUACCAUUCCCCCAUUUUACCUGUCCUAAAACCAGACAAGGCUUACAGGUUAGUUCAGAAUCUGCGCCUUAUCAACCAAAUUGUUUUGCCUAUCCACCCCAUAGUGCCAAACCUAUAUACUCUCCUGUCCUCAAUACCUCCCUCUACAACCCAUUAUUCUGUUCUAGAUCUCAAACAUGCUUUCUUUAUUGCACCCUUCAUCCCAGCCUCUCUUCGCUUUCGCUUAGACUGACCCUGACACCCAUUAGGCUCAGGAAAUUACCUGGGCUGUACUGCCACAAGCCUUCACAGACAGCCCCCAUUGCUUUAGUCAAGCCCAAAUUUCAUCCCCAUCUGUUACCUAUCUCGGCAUAAUUCUCGUAAAAACACACGUGCUUUCCCUGCUGAUCGUGUCCGAUUAAUCUCCCAAAACUCAAUCCCUUACAAAACAACUCCUUUCCUUCCUAGGCAUGGUUAGUGUGGUCAGAAUUCUUACACAAGAGCCAGGACCGCACCCUGUAGCCUUUCUGUCCAAACAACUUGACCUUACUGUUUUAGCCUAGCUCUCAUGUCUGCAUGCAGCGGCUGCCGCUGCUUUAAUAUUUUAGAGGCCCUAAAAAUCACAAAUUAUGCUCAACUCACUCUCUACAUUUCUCAUAACUUCCAAAAUCUAUUUUCUUCCUCACACCUGACGCAUAUACUUUCUGCUCCCCGGCUCCUUCAGCUGUACUCACUCUUUGUUAAGUCCCACAAUUACCAUUGCUCCUGGCCCAGACUUCAAUCCGGCCUCCCACAUUCUUCUAGAUACCACACCUGACCCCCAUGACUGUAUCUCUCUGAUCCACCUGACAUUCACCCCAUUUCCCCAUAUUUCCUUCUUUCCUGUUCCUCCCCCUGAUCACGCUUGAUUUAUUGAUGGCAGUUCCACCAGGCCUAAUCGCCACACACCAGCAAAGGCAGGCUAUGCUAUAGCACAAGCCACUAGCCCGCCUCUUAGAACCUCUCCUCAUUUUCUUUCCAUUGUGGAAAUCUAUCGUCAAGGAAAUAACUUCUCAGUGUUCCAUCUGCUAUUCUACUACUCCUCAGGGAUUAUUCAGGCCCCCUUCCUUCCCUACACAUUAAGCUCGAGGAUUUGCCCCCACCCAGGACUGGCAAAUUAGCUUUACUCAACAUGCCCCGAGUCAGAUAACUAAAAUACCUUAGUCUAAGUAGACACUUUCACUAGAUAAGUACAGGCCUUUCCUACAAGGUCUAAGAAGGCCACUGCAGUCAUUUCUUCCCUUCUGUCAGACAUAAUUCCUCAGUUUAGCCUUCCCACCUCUAUACAGUCUGAUAACAGACCAGCCUUUAUUAGUCAAAUCAGCCAAGCAAUUUUUCAGGCUCUUGGUAUUCAGUGAAACCUUUAUAUCCCUUACGGUCCUCCGUCUUCAGGAAAAGUAGAACGGACUAAAAGUCUUUUAAACACACACCUCACCAAGCUCAGCCACCAACUUAAAAAGGACUGGACAAUACUUUUACCACUUUGCCUUCUCAGAAGUCAGACCUGUCCUCAGAAUGCUACAAGGUACAGCCCAUUUGAGCUCCUGUAUGGACGCUCCUUUUUACUAAGCCCCAGUCUCAUGCCAGACACCAGACCAACUUAGACUGUGCCCCCAAAAAACUUGUCAUCCCUACUAUCUUCUGUCUAGUCAUACUCCUAUUCACCGUUCUCAACUACUCAUACAUGCCCUGUUCUUGUUUACACUGCUGGUUUAUACUCUUUCUCCAAGACAUCACAGCUGGUAUCUCCUGGCACUAUCCUCAAACUGCCACUCUAAACUCUUGAAGUAAAUAAAUAAUCUUUGCUGACAGGACUAUGCUGAGCCUCCUUAGGCACUCUCUAAUCAGAUGUCCUGGGUCCUCCCAAUUCUUAGACCUUUAAUACCUGUUUUUCUCCUACUCUUACUCCGUUUAGUUUUUCAAUUCAUACAAAACCGUAUCCAGGCCAUCACCAAUAAUUCUAAAUGACAAAUGUUUCUAACAGUCCCACAAUAUCACCCCUUACCACAAAAUCUUCCUUCAGCUUAAUCUCUCCCACUCCCACUCUAAGUUCCCAUGCCGCCCCUAAUCCCAUUCGAAGCAGCCCUGAAAAACAUCGCCCAUUAUCUCUCCAUACCACCCCCAAAAAUUUUCACCGUCCCAACACUUUACCACUAUUUUGUUUUAUUUUUCUUAUUAAUAUAAGAAGACAGGAAUGUCAGGCCUCUGAGCCCAAGCUAAGCCAUCAUAUCCCCUGUGACCUGCACGUAUACAUCCAGAUGGCUGGUUCCUGCCUUAACUGAUGACAUUCCACCACAAAAGAAGUGAAAAUGGCCUGUUCCUGCCUUAACUGACGACAUUGUCUUGUGAAAUUCCUUCUCCUGGCUCAAAAGCUCCCCUACUGAGCACCUUGUGACCCCCACUCUGCCCGCCAGAGAACAACCCCCCUUUGACAGUAAUUUUCCUUUACCUACCCAAAUCCUAUAAAACGGCCCCACCCUUAUCUCCCUUCGCUGACUCUCUUUUUGGACUCAGCCCACCUGCACCCAGGUGAUUAAAAGCUUUAUUGCUCACAGAAAGCCUGUUUAGUAGUCUCUUCACACAGAUGCGCAUGAAAAUCACAAGUAUGCCUAAGUUGAAAAACUACAUUUUCAUAAAAAUAACAAAAAAUUAUAAAACAAAGCAGACUUGAAAGAACAAGGGUGGGUAGAUAUGAAAGGAAGAAAAACAAAACAGAAUGAAACAUAGUUAAUUGUGCUAAAGACUCAAUAGAUAAAAUGAAUUGAAAUCUGGAUACAUUUGAAUAGAGAAUUUGUGAAUCAGAAAACAGUGUUGAAGAAUUUAACCUGAAUAUUAUACAGAUACUGAUAUCAAAUAUAACAGAACAGUCACAAUAAGGUUGAGGAAUAAACAGGCAUAAUGUGAAUUACAUGAGAAAAAAGAGAGUGGGAAGUUGAAGAGGCAAUAUUUAAGAAAAUAUUGAACAUUUUCCAUAAUUGACAAAAGACAUGAGUCUUCAAAACAAAGCACACUUUGAGACUGAGCAAGAGAAAUAAAAUUAUACCCACCUUUAGACAUAUUGCAGUGGAAAUGAAGAGCAACAAGAAUAAAGAGAAAAUAUCUUAAAAGCUACCAAAUAAAAAAGACGAUACAACAAAACAGAGAGCAGACUUCUCAUUAACAAUAGUUGCAAGGAGACAAUGGAGUAACGUAUUCAAGCUAGAAAUUUAUGUGCAUAUACAUUCUUAUUCAAGAGUGAAGGAAAAAUUAAAAUAUUUUCAGAUUUACAAAGGCUAUAUUUAUGAUUCAGACCCUUGUUGAAAGAAAUAUUACAAUAUAUACAUUAUCAAGAAGAGAAGUGAACACAGAGGGAAUGCUUAAGAUGUGUGAAAUCACAAUGAACAAAUAAAUUGGUAAAAUAUGCCAGUAAGUUUAAUGACUGAAAAAAGUAAUUGUUUUGUAUAAACCAAAGUAAAACUAAAUUUCAAAGCAACAAUAAAAUGAUCGAGUUGUUCAAUGGAUAGUUAGAGCAUGCUAAAAUCUUUGCCUUUGGAAGGAAGAUAAAUAAAACUGGUUAACAUUGUAUUGUUUAGAAAGUUUAUAUGUAAAUAUGUUUUUAAAAGUUGAUGAGUUCUAAAAAAAAUAAAAUAAAUAUAAAUUAGUUAAAUUCACCCAGUAAAAGACAAAAACUAUCAGAUUAGAGUAAAAAUGAAAACCAAAUCUGCCACCUUAAUUUAUAAGAGAAACUCCUAAAAUAAACCCAUAUAUAAAGGGUUAAAAUAAAGACCUGAAAAAAGUACAUCAGAUCAAUAUUAACCAAAUUAAAACUUGGAUAGCCAUGGCAAUAUAUAAAAAGUGAUUAAUUUUUGUCUGUUUUUAUUAUCAGCCUUCAUUCUUAUUGAACUCUUUUAUUAGUACCUGUAAUUAUUCAUUAUAAUGUCUUAACUUUUUAAGAUAACAUGCAUGUUAAUUGGGGUUAACUUUAUUUCCGUUUCCUCUUUUCAUAUAUAACUUACUUUCCCUGUCUCAUUAAAAUAGUCUUGCACUUUCAUAAUGUUUUAAAAUAUUUACAUUCUGAGGGAACAAAAAUUCUGUGCUAAAGAGCUCUCUUCUGUGCUGCCAUUAACCUUUUCAGUAUAAAUUCUACUAUCACAGGCUACAUAGGAGAUGACAGUUUUAACUUAAAACCCAUUGUAAACAUAUUAUAUUGAUGACAUAGACUUCACACUGUGUCUAUUAAAUGAGUCUAUAAACUUCACUAACAGAGUUGCAGGGUGUUUAAGUUUGAAGAUACUGCCUGAUCCAUCGUUUCACAGAGAAAGAAGCUGAGGUUCAGAGGAGAGCCUGGGACUCCUUUCUCCGCUGACCUGGGGCAGCCAGUCUUGCAACCAAAGCCCUCCUCUGCUGAAACGCUCCGUGCAGCCCUGUCUACUGAGGGCUCAGGAUCUUCACCUUGCUACUUGACCAGUCCUGGGACUCCAUCCUCAGCUCACUACAGGCAACACCCUUCAAAGCAAGAUCCUUGCUUCAAUGGGACCUCAGAUUUGGACGUUCAGGUUUCUGGGGCUCCACUAUGCACAGCUGGGGCUUCCCCCACCAGACCAAGAUUCUCCCUUCCCUGAGACCCUCCGGGCCGAAAUGACAGUCACCUCAACCUGACAGCUCUUCCUGAGCUUCCCAAGUCACAGGAGAGGUGGGAUUUGGGAAGCAAUGCUAAGCAGUGGAAUGGACAUCGACAUAGAGAGAUCAGCUCCACACUUAUACUCCACCACUCAACUUCCCCAUGUGACUUGAGGAUCACUCUAACUCCAAAACAUAGCAAGCUCGCGGAACAUCAUUCAUGCAAAGUAUUCCAAGGAGCCCCUUGAAGCAACAGAAUGGAUUUCUCUUCUAUGGUGGAAUGGCACCCUGGAUGAUUAAAACCGUAGCAGCAAACAAAACCUCCAUCAAGUAAGAAUUCAGAGUGUGAGAUAUCACGCACAGCCACGUGUAGAUCUUUAUAUACGUGUCAAUGUGUUUGGUUGUAUUUUUGCUUUAAAAGUAUGUAUUGAGCAUUUCUUCUAGGUCCUCAGUAACAUCUUUUUUUUAAAAAAAUAAAUGCUUAGGGAAUUGUUUUAUAUUAAA